AAUGUAGACAGAAACAAACAGGCAACCCUGCAGUGGUAGUAGUGGUGACAGCAGCAGCGGCAAUGAUGGAAGCCUGCAGGAGCCAAGAGUGUAAGAAAUGGAAACCGCUUUCUCUAUUUUCUCUGGAGCUAUAGAUUCAGACGGUUAUCUUAACAGUCUGCAACAAUAUACUGAGAGAAGCACUAACGAAACUGCAUUUCUCUGUCAUGCUGUGCCAGCUGUAGUAUGUGGGAAACCUUGUCUCUCCCAAGUACCUUCUGUCUCUGGCAGCUCCAUGUAAACUUCAGGAAUGGUCAGUGCUGAGCUUUUAGUUGCUGUAUCCACCAUCUCCACAGACCAAGACCCAGUGACUUGCAUUUCUUGCCUCCAUGUCCAUGGCUUAUUUUCUCCCUACUCAGUUAUGUUAUCCUACUUCAUUCACCGAUGUUGUA
rnacentral:lncRNA from 1 species